GUGGGGAAUCUUGCACAAUGGGGGAAACCCUGAUGCAGCGACGCCGCGUGAGCGAUGAAGCCCCUCGGGGUGUAAAGCUCUUUCGGCAGGGACGAUAAUGACGGUACCUGCAGAAGAAGCUGCGGCUAACUACGUGCCAGCAGCCGCGGUAAUACGUAGGCAGCAAGCGUUGUUCGGAAUUACUGGGCGUAAAGCGUGCGUAGGCGGUUGGCUAAGUUUGGUGUGAAAUCUCCCGGCUCAACUGGGAGGGUGCGCCGAAAACUGGCCGGCUAGAGUGCGGGAGAGGGAAGUGGAAUUCCUGGUGUAGCGGUGAAAUGCGUAGAUAUCAGGAGGAACACCUGUGGUGUAGACGGCUUCCUGGACCGUGACUGACGCUGAGGCACGAAAGCGUGGGGAGCAAACAGGAUUAGAUACCCGGGUAGUCC
rnacentral:rRNA from 1 species